rnacentral:lncRNA from 10 species
CCAUCCCACAACACUUGGGAAUUGUGGGAGCUGCAAGAGAUUUGAUGGGGGACAAAGAACCAAACCAUAUCAAGGUAUAAUAAUGCUACUCACCACCUUAUAUAAUUCCAUAUUGUAAGAAGCUUCAGAGACGUGGAUUUUUCUGUUUUCAGGACCUGAAAUAUAUUCCUACAUAGAGUAAAUGUUUCUCCUGCUGGCUAAAUCUAAUUG